rnacentral:rRNA from 1 species
AGAGACAGCAGCAGCCGCGGUAAUACGUAGGGUGCAAGCGUUAAUCGGAAUUACUGGGCGUAAAGCGUGCGCAGGCGGUGGUUUAAGUCCGUUGUGAAAGCCCUGGGCUCAACCUGGGAAUUGCAGUGGAUACUGGGUCACUAGAGUGUGGUAGAGGAUAGUGGAAUUUCCGGUGUAGCAGUGAAAUGCGUAGAGAUCGGAAGGAACAUCUGUGGCGAAGGCGACUAUCUGGGCCAACACUGACACUGAGGCACGAAAGCGUGGGGAGCAAACAGGAUUAGAUACCCGCGUAGUCCCUGUCUCUUAUAU